GCCCCAGUGGCGGAAUGGUAGACGCGGCAGACUCAAAAUCUGUUGCCUGCAAGGGCGUGCUGUUUGAGUCGCGCCUCGGGCACCA
rnacentral:tRNA from 1 species